rnacentral:lncRNA from 1 species
GCUUGGAAUGGGAGGCAUGGAGAACUAGGGAGCCAUUGUGCGAGUUUAAGCGUUUAUGCAUGUAGCGCAUGACGGAUGAGCAGUCUUUAGAAAGACCUGUAGAUCUUUUCUGACAUCCAACAUUUGGUUGUGUUGUUCGAACCAACUUAUCUUCUGUUUUUUCUCCGGCUUUUUCACACACAUGCUUCGGUUCGGAUUUGGACAUGGCCUAAGGCUCGUACGAAGAUUAUUUUUUAAAAAAAAUCACAAAAGUCUACCUUAUGGAAUAACAUGUAAGAGAAAUUCAGUGACUGUUUGGAUCCUGGGACUUUUUUUAGCCCCUUGUCACAUUGGAUGUUUGAAUGUUAAUUAGGAGUAUUAAAUAUAGACUGAUAACAAAAGCAAUUGUAUAAAUAAAUGCUAUUUUAUUAGACAAAAUUUUAAG